AUUGAACGCUGGCGGCAUGCUUUACACAUGCAAGUCGAACGGCAGCGCGGGCUUCGGCCUGGCGGCGAGUGGCGAACGGGUGAGUAAUGCAUCGGAACGUGCCCAGUAGUGGGGGAUAGCCCGGCGAAAGCCGGAUUAAUACCGCAUACGACCUGAGGGUGAAAGCGGGGGACCGAAAGGCCUCGCGCUAUUGGAGCGGCCGAUGUCGGAUUAGCUAGUUGGUGGGGUAAGGCUUACCAAGGCGACGAUCCGUAGCUGGUCUGAGAGGACGACCAGCCACACUGGGACUGAGACACGGCCCAGACUCCUACGGGAGGCAGCAGUGGGGAAUUUUGGACAAUGGGGGCAACCCUGAUCCAGCCAUGCCGCGUGCGGGAAGAAGGCCUUCGGGUUGUAAACCGCUUUUGUUCGGGAAGAAAUCCUCUGGGCUAAUACCCCGGGGGGAUGACGGUACCGGAAGAAUAAGCACCGGCUAACUACGU
rnacentral:rRNA from 1 species